UACGUAGGGUGCAAGCGUUGUCCGGAAUUAUUGGGCGUAAAGAGCUCGUAGGCGGCUUGUCGCGUCGGCUGUGAAAACCUGGGGCUCAACCCCGGGCCUGCAGCCGAUACGGGCAAGCUAGAAUUCGGUAGGGGAGACUGGAAUUCCUGGUGUAGUGGUGAAAUGCGCAGAUAUCAGGAGGAACACCGGUGGCGAAGGCGGGUCUCUGGGCCGAUAUUGACGCUGAGGAGCGAAAGCGUGGGGAGCGAACAGG
rnacentral:rRNA from 1 species